GGCCACAACAAGCGGUGGAGCAUCUGGUUACAUUUGAGGCACCGCGAAGAUCAUGACAUGGUCUUAACAUGACAGUCAUCUCGUAGAGACAUGGGAUGUUCCGCAAGGUCGCUGCACACAGUUGCAACAUGGCAGUCAUCAGGUCGUGUCAUGAGAUCAUGGCUUAAGUGCAACAGGAAGCGCGACCCAUACGACUCGUUGAGAUCGACGUACAAGUCGGCUAACUCAAGGUCAGUACUGGCUGUGUGAUAAACUCGUGACGGACAGUACUGGAGGCAGAUCUGUCAAGUCAUCAUACCAUAUACGAGUCAGGGCUACACACCUGAUGCGAUGGGAUAUACAGAGGCAUCAGACCACAUUACCCAAACAGAAUGUCAGAAAGUAUGUAAUAGUCCGGAUUGAAGUCUUCAACUCGACUAUCAUGAAGUGUGGAAUAGGUAGUUAUCGCAAAUCAGAAUGUUGCGGUGAAUACGUUGCCGGGCCUCGUACACACCGCCCGUCACACCACGGGAGUGGAUUGCACCAGGAGUAGCCAGUUUGACGCAAGAGGGCGGUUAACACGGUGUGGUAUAUGACUGGGGUG
rnacentral:rRNA from 1 species